rnacentral:rRNA from 1 species
AAUAUUGCACAAUGGGCGCAAGCCUGAUGCAGCAACGCCGCGUGCGCGACGAAGACCUUCGGGUCGUAAAGCGCUUUUCGGGGAGAUGAGUACGGACAGUAUCCCCGGUCGAAGGAUCGGCUAACUACUUGCCAGCAGCCGCGGUAAAACGUAGGAUCCGCGCGUUAGCCGAAUUCACUGGGCGUAAAGCGCAUGCAGGCGGGCGCAAAAGUUGGGUGUGAAAUCUCCCGGCUCAACUGGGAGGGGACGUUCAAAACUGGGCGGCUCGAGGGCGGUAGAGGAAGGUAGAAUUCCCGGUGUAGUGGUGAAAUGCGUAGAUAUCGGGAGGAAUACCCGUGGCGAAGGCGACCUUCUGGACCGUUUCUGACGCUCAGAUGCGAAAGCUAGGGGAGCGAACG